rnacentral:lncRNA from 1 species
AUGGUAGUGUCUUCCAGAAAUACUCUCACAGGCACACCCAGGACAAAUGUUCUACCAGCUAUCUGGGCGUUGCUUAGGCCAGUCAAGUUGACACAUAAAAUUAACCAACGAAGUAAUUCUAACAAAGAUUUAUAACCAGAUUACACUCUUCUGAAGCUAAAGAACUGCUAAUGGAGAUAGCAGUCAUCAGUUACUGUGAUAGUUAAUGUUGAGUGUCAACUUGAUUGGAUUGAAAAAUGUGAAGUAUUGUUUCUGGGUGUGUCAGUGAGGGUGCUGCCAAAAGAGAUUAACAUUUGAGUUAGUGGACUAAGAAAGGCAGACCCACUCUCAAUCUGGGUGGGCACCAUCUAAUCGGCUGCCAACAUGGCUAGGAUAAAAGCAGGCAGAGGAAUGUGGAAGGACUAAACUGGCAGAAUCUUCUGGCCUCCAUCUUUCCCCUGUGCUGGAUGCUUCCUGCCCUCAAACAUCGGACUCCCAAGUUCUUCAGCUUUUGGACUCUUGGACUUACAUCACUGAUUUGCCAGGGGCUCUGAGGCCUUUGGCCACAGGCUGAAGGCUGCACUAUCAGCUUCCCUACUUUUAAAGUUUUGGGACUUGGAAUUGCUUCCUGGCUCCUCAGCUUGCAGACAGCCUAUUGUGGGACUUCACCUUAUGAUCAUAUGAAUAAGUGAGUGAGGAAGAAAGUGGCCCCAAAUGAAGUUGUUGUGGAAAUAGGCAGGGCUGGAUCAUUCACGGCCUUGCAGGUCAUGGUGAGGAGUUGAGAUUGAGUUGCCUUUAGAAAGGAAGCUAACUCUACAGCAGAAGCAGUGAGUCACAAGGACAAGAACCAAAUGAUAUGGACGACCCCAUCACAACAACUCAAGCUGGUGUAAACAUUCUCACAUGGCAUGAGAAUGAAACAUAAUGCAGUGCUCCCUCUCCCCAGACCUGGGUCACAUUCCUCUAUGGAUUAAAUGCAAUAGCAGUUAGGUUUUAAUUGCAUUCCUUUGAGCAAUGUCAUUUAUUUUACCUGUUGUUUACCAUUAAAUUUAUGUCCUGGAAGAUGUUGAUAAAACUACAAGAAGGAAAGUAUCCUUUUGCUAUGGUUUGAAUAGCAAACCAAAAUUUGUGUUGAAAUUUUAUCCCAAAUGUGGCAGAGAAUUAGUCCAUUCUCAUGCUGCUAAUAAGGACAUACCCAAGACUCGGUAAUUGAUAAAGGAAAGAUGUUUAAUUGACUCACAGUUCAGCAUGGUUGGGGAGGCCUCAGAAAACUUACAAUCAUGGUGGAAGGGGAACCAAACACGUCCUCCUUCACAUGGUGGCAAGAGAGACAAGUGCAGAGAAAAGGAGGGGAAAGCCCCUUAUAAAAUCAUCAACUCUCAUGAGAACUCACUCACUAUCAUCAGAACAGCAUGGAGGUAACCGCCCCCAUGAUUCAAUUACCUCCCACUAAGUCCUUCCCAUGACCCAUGGGGAUUAUAGGAUACCUGAGAACUUUGACAUGUUUCUGACAUGCCCUGAAAACAGCUGCCACAUUGCCUCAGUGAUUAACAUUCGGCUCCUCAUCACAUAUGCAAAUUUCAGCAGCCGGCUUGAAUUUCUCCCAAGAAAAUGGGUUUUUCUUUUCUGUCACAUAAUCAGGCUGCAAAUUUUCCAAACUUUUAUGCUCUGCUUCCUCUUGAACACCUUGCCACUUAGAAAUUGCUUCUGUCAGAUUCCCUAAAUCAUCUCUCUCAAGUUUAAAGUUUCACAGAUCUCUAGGGCAGGGGCAAAAUGCCGCCAGUCUCUUUGCAUAGCAAGAGUGACAUUUACUCCAGUUUCCAACAAGUUCCUCAUCUCCAUCUGAGACCACCUCAGCCUGGACUUUAUUGCCCAUAUCACUAUCAGCAUUUUAGUCAAAGCCAUUCGACAAGUCUCUAGGAAGUUCCAAACUUUCCCACUUCUUCCUGCCUUCUUAGCCCUCCAAGUCUCUAAGAGUUUCCAAACUUUCCCACAUUUUCCUGUCUUCUGAGCCCUCCAAAUGGUUUCAACCUCUGCCUGUUACCCAGUUCCAAAGUUACUUCCACAUUUUCAGGUACCUUUACAGCAGCGCCCCACUCUCUGUGGUACCAAUUUACUGUAUUAGUCCCUUCUCCCACCUCUAUAAGGACAUAUCUGAGACUGGGUAAUUUAUAAAGGAAGGAGGUUUAAUUGACUCACAGUUCCACAGGGCGGGGGAGGCCUCAAGAAACUUACAAUCAUGGUGGAAGGGGAAGCAAACACGUCCUUCUUCACAUGGCAGCAGGAGAUGUGCAGAGAGAAGUGGGGGAAAGCCCCUUCUAAAACCAUCAGAUCUCAUGAGAUCUCAUCAGAUCUCAUAAGAACUCACUCAAUAUCAUAAGAACAUGAUAUGGAGGUAACCGCUGCCAUGAUUCAAUUACCUCCCAUGGGGUUUUUUCCAUGACAUGCAGGGAUUAUGGGAGCUACAAUUCAGUAUGAGAUUUAGGUGCGGACACAGCCAAAACCAUAUCAGGCAGUAUUGAGAAGUGAAGCAUUUAAGAGGUGAUUGGGUCAUGAGGGCUCUGCCCUCAUGAAUGACUUAGUCUAUUCACAGAUUAAUGAAAUAGUGAGUUAUCAUUGGAAGGGAACUGUGGCUAUAUAGGAAAAGGAAGAAAAACCUAAGCUAGCAUGUUAGCGCACUCAGCCCCCUUGCCACGUGAUGCUCUGCACUGCCUCAGGACUCUGCAGCAUCCCCAUUAGCAAGAAAAUGUGGCAUAUAUACACCACGG